GAUGAAGAACGCAGCGAAAUGCGAUAAGUAAUGUGAAUUGCAGAAUUCAGUGAAUCAUCGAAUCUUUGAACGCACAUUGCGCCCGCCAGUAUUCUGGCGGGCAUGCCUGUUCGAGCGUCAUUACAACCCUCAGGCCCCCGUGCCUGGCGUUGGGGAUCGGCGGAAGCCCCCUGCGGGCACAACGCCGUCCCCCAAAUACAGUGGCGGUCCCGCCGCAGCUUCCAUUGCGUAGUAGCUAACACCUCGCAACUGGAGAGCGGCGCGGCCACGCCGUAAAACACCCAACUUCUGAAUGUUGACCUCGAAUCAGGUAGGAAUACCCGCCGAACUUAAGCAUAUCAAUAAGCGGAGGA
rnacentral:misc_RNA from 1 species